rnacentral:rRNA from 1 species
UAAGGAAUAUUGGUCAAUGGGCGGAAGCCUGAACCAGCCAUGCCGCGUGCAGGAAGACGGCCCUACGGGUUGUAAACUGCUUUUGCAGGGGAAUAAACCCUGGUAUGUAUACCGGGCUGAAUGUACUCUGAGAAUAAGGAUCGGCUAACUCCGUGCCAGCAGCCGCGGUAAUACGGAGGAUCCGAGCGUUAUCCGGAUUUAUUGGGUUUAAAGGGUGCGUAGGCGGCCUUGUAAGUCAGGGGUGAAAGACGGUAGCUUAACUAUCGCAGUGCCUUUGAUACUGCAGGGCUUGAAUGUACUUGAGGUAGGCGGAAUGUGACAAGUAGCGGUGAAAUGCAUAGAUAUGUCACAGAACACCAAUUGCGAAGGCAGCUUACUAAAGUAUAAUUGACGCUGAGGCACGAAAGCGUGGGGAUCAAACA